rnacentral:lncRNA from 1 species
CAAUACUGAAGGGUUCCUGUUGAAAUGGAGAAGUGUGCCAGACACACUAUGGCCUAUGGGCUGAAGAUGGAUGCCCUAUUACAGAGGAACUUUGGAUGACUGUCCAGCCAAAGAUAACUUCUUGGAACAUUAUACCACAAUUGAAAAUUACUGGCCCAAUGGAUGAGGAAAUCAGUAAAGGAAGACUCAGAGGGCUGAAGAUUAAGACAUAAUCCAAAGACUCUCUGCUUGUCUAAAUCCCUUCUUCAAUUCCAGAAUGGACAGAGUUCUGCUUGAUUGAAAUCUGUUUGGGGCUGCUGGCAAGAAUUGGGGACAAUGACUACAUCAACAGAUGAGAAUACAGACCAUCUCUUUAUCUCCCUCCUCAAAGUAGGUCUGUGGGACAUUUUCUGGACAAAUGAUUGAAGUAGGAAGACCUAGCAGACUGUGGAUGGCACUGGGUCCUGAAUUGUGUAAGAAAACAGGCUGAGCAAGUUAAUAGGCAACCUUCCUUCAUAGCAUCCGAC